GGAGGAGACAACAAAGCCAGCAGCUUUAAGAGAGGAAAAUGCUAAGAGGUCCUUGUUAACAUCUAGACCAAAGGAAGAGGAAGCGUCGUCACCUGCGGAUUCGGAUUCUGAGAAUGUUGCACAACCGGGAUUGA